CACGUAGGGCGCGAGCGUUGUCCGGAAUUAUUGGGCGUAAAGAGCUCGUAGGCGGCUCGUUGCGUCAACCGUGAAAACCCGGGGCUUAACUUCGGGCUUGCGGUUGAUACGGGCGGGCUGGAGUUCGGUAGGGGAGACUGGAAUUCCUGGUGUAGCGGUGAAAUGCGCAGAUAUCAGGAAGAACACCUAUGGCGAAGGCAGCUCUCUGGGACGGUACUGACGCUGAGACGCGAAAGCGUGGGGAGCGAACAGG
rnacentral:rRNA from 1 species